UAUAUCAGGGUAGUAACAGAGAGUUCGAUCAUGGCUCAGAUUGGAACGCUGGCGGGAUGCUUUACACAUGCAAGUCGAACGGCAGUACCGGACUUCGGUCUGGUGUGGCGAGUGGCGAACGGGUGAGAAUGUAUCGAACGUACUAGUAGCGGUGACAACUACGCCGAAAGCGUAGCUAAUACCGCACACUGCCCUUCGGGGGAAAGCGGGGACCUCUGGCCCUGCACCAUUAGAGCGGCCGAUAUCGGGAUUAGCUGGGUUGUAGGGUACCAGCUCAUCAUACAUGAUCCGUAGCUGGUUUGAGGACGACCAGCCACACUGGGACCGAGACACGGCCCAGACUCCUACGGAGGCAGCAGUGGGAAUUUUGGACAAUGGGAAACCCUGAUCCAGCCAUCCCGCGUGCAAGUGAGAAGGCCUUCGGUUUGUAAAGCACUUUUUGGUAGGAAAGAACGGCACGGGGAUAAUACCCCGUGCAACUGACGGUACUCUGCAGAAUAAGCACCGGCUAACCGCUGCGCCAGCAGUCAUGGUAAUACUGGUGGUGGUAUAACGGAAAUUCGCUGGGCGUAAAGCGCGCAGGCGGUUCGAAAGAAGAUGUGAAAUCCCAGAGCUUAACUUUGGAACUGUAUUUUAAUCAAUGAGCUGAUAUGCUGAGGGAGGUGGAAUUCCGCGUGUAGCAGUGAAAUGUGCAGGGAUAUGCGGAUAUUACCUGAUGGCGAAGGCAGCCUCCUGGGGAUAACACUGACGCUCAUGCACGAAAGCAGGAGCAAACAGGAUUAGAUACCUCCGGUAGUCCACGCCCUAAACGAUGUCAACUAGCUGUUGGGGCCUUCGCAAGCCCGGUAGCGCAGCUAACGCGGGUGAAGCUGACCGCCUGGGGAGCACGGUCGCAAGAUUGGAAACUCAAAAGGAAUUUGACGGGGACCCGCACAAGCGGGAAAGAUGAUGACAUCUGAUGCAACGCGAAAACUUACCUACCCUUGACAUGUCUGGAAUCCCCGAAGAGAUUUGGGAGUGCUCGCAAGAGAACCGGAACACAGGUGGGCGAAGGCCACGUCAGCUCGUGUCGUGAGAUGCUGGGUUAAGUCCCGCAACGGUAUGCAACCCUUGUCAUUAGUUGCUACGAGCGGGCACUCUGACAAUGCCGGUGGAUGCCAAAACCAGAGAAGGUGGGGAUGACGUCAAGUCCUCAUGACCUUAUGGUGCAGGGGCUCUUCUCACACGUCAUACAAUGGUCGGGACAGAGGGUCGCCAACCCGGCGAGGGGGGAGCCAAUCCCAGAAACCCGAUCGCAGUCCGACCGCAGUCUGCAACCUGACCGGUGCAGUCGGCACCGCUAGUGACCGUGACCAGCAGUACGCUUCGUGGUGAAUAUGUUCCUGGCCUGGCAGCACACCUCCGCCUGCCAGCCACCAGGAGGGCCACCAGGCGAUAUCUUAACCCAAGGAGAAGGAUUAUCGGCAGAUUCAUGACCUGGGGGUGAAGUCAGAAUAAGGUAG
rnacentral:rRNA from 1 species